UUUAGUUUCUGAAAUACUAAUUUUGCAACUUACGGGUUGCCGCCUGGUUCUGAUCUGAGUUACUUAAUUUAUGACUAACGGUAACAGAAACAUGAUGAUAACUAACGCGGGUUGAUAAAUUAUUCGGAAACUUGGUUUUUGGCAAUUGUUAAUUUACCAACCGUGGCAAAUGUUUAAGUACGGUAAAAUGAUGGUACUGGUAAUAUUACCAACUCUGGUACUUGAAAGGAACGGUAGUUAUUAGUAGAACCCGUUACCGGCAUGAGUUACCUCUUAACUUUGUGUCUUUUGGCUUAUUUUACCGUACUCGCAUCUAUUCGAAGUCUAUAUGCUAUGGUCAAGAAGCGUAAAGCCUAAAAGCGGUGUUUUUAAGGAAGACUCUUUUGACCAAUCAGAACACUUUUUGAUUUCUAACCGGGUUUUUGAAGUGAUUGGCUGCGUUCGGAAACAUCACUCGGCGGGUAGAGUUGAGUGAACUGGUAGUGGGGGCAAGGUGUACUCCAGGUGCGACUAGUUUCCGAACGGCAAAUAAGAUGGCGGACACAAGGCGAAAAAACAUUAUUGUAGCCUGCGUCGUAUCUGAACAGAAAUUAAGAGUUUUAAAUAUAUUACAUUCAGAAAGUAGUGAUGACGAGAUAACAAAUAGAAUAAUUGAAGAAGCAAAUCUUGUCGAAGCCCAAAUAAGAUUUGGUAAUCGAGGCUACCAUAAAGUCAGAGAACAACUGUAUGUUAACAAAAUUAUACCAAGAUUUAGUAAUGAAGUGUUCCGUCAACAUUUUUGUAUGACGAGAACAACUUACGAAAAUCUCGAGCAACGGUUAACUUCGGCAUUGACAAAAAUAGAAAAAGAAGGAAGACCAAUGAUCCCAGUUCGAAAUCAACUCUUAUCAGUCAUUUAGCUUUUGGCAACUCCAGAUUCCUUUCGAUCUGUUGCAGAUCGUUUCAAUAUGGCAAAAUCGAUUCUACACGAUUCUUUCCGUAGAGUUGUCUAUGCUUUAAAUGACAUAGCAGAUAGUGUUAUUGUGUGGCCAGAAGGGGACAGAUUGACUGCUGUAAAGAAAAGAUUUAGUGACAUUGGUGUUCUUCCAGAUGUCAUAGGAGUUAUCGAUGGCACGCACAUACCUAUCCUUGCAUCAUAUCUUAAUUCUGAAUCAUAUAGAACCAGGAAAUGCCAACACGCUCUUACUUUGCAAGCUGUUUGCAACGCAGACUUGGUAUUUACAGAUUGCUUUGUGGGAUUUGCAGGUUCUGUGCAUGAUAGUAGGGUAUUUAGAAACUCAGAUUUGUGGA